GAUGAGCGCUGGCGGCGUGCCUAAUACAUGCAAGUCGAGCGAACAGACGAGGAGCUUGCUCCUCUGACGUUAGCGGCGGACGGGUGAGUAACACGUGGAUAACCUACCUAUAAGACUGGGAUAACUUCGGGAAACCGGAGCUAAUACCGGAUAAUAUAUUGAACCGCAUGGUUCAAUAGUGAAAAACGGUUUUGCUGUCACUUAUAGAUGGAUCCGCGCCGCAUUAGCUAGUUGGUAAGGCAACGGCUUACCAAGGCAACGAUGCGUAGCCGACCUGAGAGGGUGAUCGGCCACACUGGAACUGAGACACGGUCCAGACUCCUACGGGAGGCAGCAGUAGGGAAUCUUCCGCAAUGGGCGAAAGCCUGACGGAGCAACGCCGCGUGAGUGAUGAAGGUCUUCGGAUCGUAAAACUCUGUUAUUAGGGAAGAACAAAUGUGUAAGUAACUAUGCACGUCUUGACGGUACCUAAUCAGAAAGCCACGGCUAACUACGUG
rnacentral:rRNA from 1 species